AUACGAUAUCCACCACCAUCUCAAGACUACCCACCUCCUAUUUAUCGACUUCCUCCUCCUAUACAACUCCCACCACCCAUUGAAAGUCAUCCACCACCAAUGCAAUACUCGCCACCCGCUCAAGGUCGCACACCACCUACACAAGCUCAUUCACCACCAACGCAAUACCCGCCCCCCACUCAAGCUCAUCCACCACCUACUCAAGGUUGCACACCACCAACACAAUUCUCUCCACCCACUCAAGCUCAUCCUCCACCAAGACAAUACCCACCACCUACUCAAGCUCAUCCACCACAAAGGCAAUACUCGCCACCCACUCAAACACAUCAACCACCAAUGCAAUACUCACCGCCAACUCAAACUCCACCAAGGCAAUACCCGCCACCCACUCAAGCUCAUCCUCCACCAAGGCAAUUCUCGCCACCCACUCAAGGCCAUCCACCACCCACACAAACUCAUCCUCCACCAAUGCAAUAUCCACCACCUACACAAGCUCAUUCACCACCAACGCAAUACCCGCCACCCACCCAAAUUCAUCCACCACCUACUCAAGGUUGCACACCACCUACUCAAGCUCAUCCACCACCAACAAAAUCCUCACCACCCACUCAAUCUCAUCCUCUCUCACCACCCACUCAAGCUCAUCCUCCACCAAGACAAUACCCACCACCCACUCAAGCUCAUCCACCACCAAGGCAAUACUCGCCACCCACUCAAACACAUCCACCACCCACACAAACUCAUCCUCCACCAAGGCAGUACCCACCGCCCACUCAAACACAUCCACCACCAAUGCAAUACUCACCGCCAACUCAAACUCCACCAAGGCAAUACCCGCCACCCACUCAAGCUCAUCCUCCACCAAGGCAAUACUCACCACCCACUCAAGGCCAUCCACCACCCAUUCAAACACAUCCUCCACCAAUGCAAUACCCACCACCCACUCAAACACAUCCACCACCAACUCAAACUCCUCCACAAAGGCAAUACCCGCCACCCACUCAAGCUCAUUCACCACCCACUCAAGGCCAUCCGCCACCCACUCAAGUUUAUCCUCCACCAAGGCAAUACUUGCCACCCACUCAAGGCCAUCCACCACCAACUCAAACUCCUCCACAAAGGCAAUACCCGCCACCCACUCAAGGCCAUCCGCCACCCACUCAAGUUCAUCCUUCACCAAGGCAAUACCCACCACCCAUUCAAGCUCAUCCACCACCUACACAAACUCACCCUCCACCAAGGCAAUGCCCACCACCCACUCAAACACAUCCACCACCAACUCAAACUCCUCCACCAAGGCAAUACCCGCCACCCACUCAAACACAUCCACCGCCAAAGCUAUACCCACCACCUACUCAAGCUCAUCCACCACCCACUCAAACACAUCCACCACCAACACAAUACUCACCACCCACUCAAGCCCAUCCACCACCACGGCAAUACUCGCCACCCAUUCAAACACAUCCACCACCAAUGCAAUCCACGCCACCCACUAAAGGUUGUGAACCACCUACUAAAGCUCAUCCUCCACCGAGGCAAUACUCACCUCCCACUCAAACUCAUCCACCACCAUCCCAAUACUCGCCACCCACUCAAGGUCGUACACCACCUACUCAAGCUCAUCCACCACCAACGCAACAUUCACCGCCCACUCAAGGUCAUACGCCACCUACUCAAGUUCAUCCAUCACCAAGUCAAUACUUGCCGCCCACUCAAAGUCAUCCACCACCAAUGCAGUACUCACCACCUACUCAAAUUAUUCCGCAGCCUCCUCAAUCUCCCCCUAGCUAUGGACCACCAUAUCAAUACCCUCCACCUUCAGGUGGCUAUUCUCCU
rnacentral:lncRNA from 1 species